rnacentral:rRNA from 1 species
AUGGCAGCCUUAGCACCUGUACAAGGCGGAGCAUUGGGAGGGGCCCGAGCAUACAGGCAUAGGGAUACUGUAGAUAGGAAGUCUUCGCGGUCCAUUAUUCCCCAUCUCGUACUACUAGUAGAAUUGAGAUUUAAUGCACUUUCUUCCCCAUCUUUCACUCUUCUUCCUCCUCUCUUCCCCAUCGUCGGCCGCACACCAUUUCCCCCCGCUCACUACUCGCCCGCCCGCGCCAUCUUCCUUGCAGACACAAAUGCGCUGGCCUUCAUGAUUCUAAGACCUGAAAUCAUACCAGCCGAUGGCCUACAAAGUCUGUCGCACAGCCUUGUAACUUCUUACCCCAUUUCUAAAUUUGUACUAGUCCUCUAUACCUACCAUAUAACUGGAAUUGACCGAUGCAACUCCAAGAAGGAUUGGUCGGUGCUGCCGGCUGGCGUCAAGUUCGAUCCCACGGAUCAGGAGCUGAUCGACCACCUUGAGGCCGAAGUGAGUGCUGACAGCGCGAGAUCGCACCCUCUCAUCGAUUUGUUCAUACCAACCAUCGACAGCGAGCACGGCAUAUGCUACACCCAUCCUGAGAAACUUCCAUGUAUCACACUGAGUGGCCUAAGCAAGCAUUUCUUCCAGCACCAUUCCAAGGCGUUCAAAAGGGGCACAUGGACGCGUCGCAAGAUACAGUCGGAGUGCGGCAUGCACGCGAUGUGGCACAAGACCGGCAAUACCUUGCCGGUGAUGAUCAAUGGCCGGCAGACGGGCAGCAAAAAGGUUCUGGUGCUGCACACCAACAAGAACUUCGACCAUUCGCGCAAAAAAAUGAACUUCAACCAGCAGAGGACCAACUGGGUGAUGCACCAGUACCACCUCGGGGACCUGGAGCAAGAGAAGGAGCGGGAGCUGGUCCUCUGCAAGAUUUUCUACCAGACGAACACUAGGGCCAGGACUAAAAAGAUUAUAAGUUAG